CGGCGUGCCUAAUACAUGCAAGUCGAACGGUCUUUCUAUGGAAGCUUGCUUCCACUGAGAAGAUAGUGGCGAACGGGUGAGUAACACGUGGGUAACCUGCCCAUAAGAGGGGGAUAACAUCCGGAAACGGGUGCUAAUACCGCAUAGUUUUCUUGAUCGCAUGAUCGGGAAAGGAAAGACGGCCUUUGUGCUGUCGCUUAUGGAUGGACCCGCGGCGUAUUAGUUAGUUGGUGAGGUAACGGCUCACCAAGACGAUGAUACGUAGCCGACCUGAGAGGGUGAUCGGCCACAUUGGGACUGAGACACGGCCCAAACUCCUACGGGAGGCAGCAGUAGGGAAUCUUCCGCAAUGGACGAAAGUCUGACGGAGCAACGCCGCGUGAGUGAAAGAAGGUUUUCGGAUCGUAAAACUCUGUUGUCAGAGAAGAACAAGUUGGAGAGUAACUGCUCCAGCCUUGACGGUAUCUGACCAGAAAGCCACGGCUAACUACGUGCCAGCCGCCGC
rnacentral:rRNA from 1 species